AAAAAGCAUGUGAUUAUUUUUUACUCUUAAAAAAAUGUCACUAAAUAAGAUAAGGAGACUUGGCUUUGCCCUAUCUUGGGCUCCACAUGUCCUGUUUCUCACUGAGAGACCCUGGCAAGGAGUUUCUCAGUGACAAAGAAAUGGUUUCUUCUCCUCUAGUUCUGAGCUAUAAACACCUUCUCUAAUCGACAUAGAAACGGCUAAGCAGUAGAUAUUUUCAGUCAGAGUACCCCAGUUUUAGUCAUAAAUUAUAUGCCUCUCCUUUUGGAAAUAUAAGGGGUAUAAUUUUUAUUCUUGGGCAGACAUAGUCCUGUGCCCGAUACCUUAGGAAAGAGCCAAAAAGAGAAUGUGGACACAGCUUGUCAUGGUGGAUGGAGAGGAAGGAGACACCAGGGGUAGGGACUCUGUAUUCUGAAGCUCUGAGGCCACAGGAUGAAAAAUCAGAGCCAAGUGAAUGCCUUCUCUGCCUCUCCAAUCCAUGCCAACCCAGGGCUGGCUGCUCACAUGGGGUCUGCACAAACUUGAAAAUCUCCAGAUGUUUUAUAGGGGGGACAAAGCCACGCUUUCUGCUGCAACAGACUGUGAGACUUUUAGGAUGCUCACCCCAAGGCCCUUGAAAAAUGAGAGAGGGGUCUGAUUCUUUGAGAUGGGUAAGGCAGAGGCACCCCGUGGAAGUCAAGCAUUCCUUCUCUCUUCCCUCCCAAGGCCAGCAUGUAAUUUCAAAUGUCCAGUCCAUCCAUGAACAAUAUGUUAGCCUUUGGCCAGGCGGUGAGCUUCCAAAAUGCAAACAUCUCAGCCUCUGUCUGCAGAGGUGAGAAUUCAGCUUGGCAGAGGAAUGGGACACUGUCAAGGAAGACAAGCUUUUGGAGUCAGACAAUCCCAGCUAUUUGCUGAUUUAUUUGUUCAAUGCUGGUCUCCCACACUAGACCAUGAGCAGGAAGGAGAGGCAGCAUGCAACUGUGCUCGUUGUCUACACAGGGCCUAGCACUGGGCCUGGGCCAGGGCAGGCACCUGGGAGGUAUGUGCUGAAUAAAUGAAUGGAUGGAUGGGUGGAUGGAUGGGUGGAUGGAUGAGUGGAUGGAUGGAUGGAUGGAUGAGUGGAUGGAUGGAUGGAUGGAUGGAUGGAUGGAUGGAUGGAUGGAUGAGGAUAUAAGUAUUGGCAGGCUGGUGGCAGCUUGCAGAAGGAGAGCACAUUAUCUAUAAACACAUUGCCCCGAUUUAUUUAACAUUGUAGUCACUCCAAAUCUUGGUUACCCUCACCUGAAUUUUCUCUUUUGGGGGAAGUUUUACACAACCACCCCAGUUUCCCUAAAUGCCCCCUCCCUGGAUUCCUGCAGCACUUGAAUUUAGGCUUCUGAGCACUGGUAUCUCCCCAAAUAGAUGAGACUCCCCAUGUGGGCAGCAGCCCUGCCUUCUCCUUCAUGUUUGUCCACAGUGCUUGGGUGAGAUCUGGACAUGUAGCCCACACUCUGUUGAAACCUGCCCAUGGCAUGCAGCUGAGGGGCCCUGCCUUCUCCUUGUCCUCAUUUAUUGCCAUCAGUCAACCACCAAUCAUCCCACAUCGACCCCAGAGGCAUUGGUCUUGGGGUCUCCCUGGUGCGGCAAUGUGGGCUGCCUUCCCAGCCUUGUCCAGGUGGCAGGACUUCUGCUGCUGACAACAGGGCUGUGAUACUCAGCUCCCCAAGGCUGAACUGGAUGACUAAGAGUCCUAAUGAUUCUGGUAUUUUUUCAGGACCUGUCUCCAAAGGCAGGAGGACAUUUAAAAAUGCAUGGGUCUCUGCUAGGUGACACAUCCUGCUUAGGAGUCUGCUGGCCUCCAGUCUGGGACAACAGAGCACUUCAAAUAGGCACCUGUGUUCAUCGCGGUGCUUUCUGUCCACACAGGGCCUUGGUUUCUGAGGCUGAGAGAGGAUAAGCUAAGCAAGGGGCAGAACAGGACACCAACCAUCUCCAGACCCCAGUACAACACAGAUGGCAGGCCAAAGAGGGACUGUGUCGUCUGAUUCAAGAGUACAGACUACACAGCCAGAAUAAUCGGGGCCUGGCUUGGACUCUCUUUAAAUAUUCAUUCCUCAUCUGUAAAAUGAGCAUAUGAGUCCCACUUCACCAGACUGUAGGACAUACGUGAAGGACUCUGCAGUGUCUGGAACAUAUUUAUGGCCCCUGAAAUAAACAGUUAUUGAUGACAGAGAUGAAAAGAAGAAGAUCCAAUGGAGUAAUCUUCAAGGCCUGCUUCAAGUCUUGCCUUGAUUGCUGCAAGAGAGAAGGUCACCUAUCUCCCCAGGUAGCCUCUCUCACCCUGACAAUGUAUCUUCACAGGUAAGGGACAAAGACAAGACUAGAAAUCAUCCCUCUGCCCACCUCAAGACAAAUGCAGAUCUGACUUCUUCUUCCUCUACUCUAUGUUUACUUUAUCUUAUGUAAAAUACAAGAUUUACUGAGCAGGAGCCGAAUGCA
rnacentral:lncRNA from 1 species